GAUGAACGCUGGCGGCGUGCCUAACACAUGCAAGUCGAGCGGCAGCGAGGGGUGCUUGCACCCUGUCGGCGAGCGGCGGACGGCUGAGUAACGCGUGGGAACGUGCCCCAAAGUGAGGAAUAACUGCCCGAAAGGGUAGCUAAUACCGCAUAUUAUCUUCGGAUCAAAGGAUUUAUCCGCUUUGGGAGCGGCUCGCGUCGGAUUAGGUAGUUGGUGAGGUAAUGGCUCACCAAGCCGACGAUCCGUAGCUGGUCUGAGAGGAUGACCAGCCAGACUGGAACUGAGACACGGUCCAGACUCCUACGGGAGGCAGCAGUGAGGAAUCUUCCACAAUGGGCGAAAGCCUGAUGCAGCAACGCCGCGUGCAGGACGAAGGCCUUCGGGUUGUAAACUGCUUUUAUAAGUGAGGAAUAUGACGGUAACUUAUGAAUAAGGAUCGGCUAACUACGUG
rnacentral:rRNA from 1 species